rnacentral:rRNA from 1 species
AUGGCCGGCGGCGAAGGCGCGGAGGGGGCGCGGGCGCUGGACCAGACGCCGACGUGGGCCGUGGUCGCCGUCUGCGCCGUCAUCGUCGCCGUCUCCAUCCUCCUCGAGGGCAUCCUCCACCACCUCGGCCAGUGGUUCAGCAAGAGGAAGAAGAAGGCGCUGUUCGACGCCCUGGAGAAGGUUAAAUCCGAGCUCAUGACUCUGGGCUUCAUCUCGCUGCUGCUGACUGUCACGGCGAGGUACAUAUCGCGCAUCUGCAUCCCGGCGGGGGCCGCCCACACCAUGCUGCCCUGCAAGCUCUCCAGGAGCUCGGAACACGGAGAGGGCCACGGCCGACGGCACCUGUCUGAAGAGCCGGCCAACUUCUCAUGCCCCAAAGGUAUGGUGUCACUCGUUUCAACCGAUGGGUUACACCAGCUACAUAUCUUUGUGUUCUUCCUGGCUGUCUUCCAUGUAACGUUCAGCGCUAUUACAAUGUCCCUGGGCAGAGCAAAGACUCGGAUAUGGAAGGAGUGGGAAAAGGACACUUCCUCCAUCACCUAUGAAUUUUCAGCCGACCCAUCGAAAUUCCGGCUCACUCACCAGACUUCUUUCGUGAGGCAGCACGCAAGCUGUUGGAGCAAAAGCACAAUUAUGCUCUAUGUCGUGAGCUUCUUUAGGCAGUUUUUCAGAUCUGUUCGGAGGACAGACUACCUGACUUUGCGGCACGGAUUCAUUGCUGCUCAUUUAUCCCCAGGGACUAGGUUCAAUUUUCAAAAGUACAUCAAGAGAUCUUUGCAGGAUGAUUUCAAGACAGUUGUCGGCAUUAGUCCACCUUUAUGGGCCUCUGCUCUGGCUGUUAUGCUCUUCAAUGUUCAUGGGUGGCAUAACUUGUUCUGGUUCUCCACAAUUCCCCUUGUAGUGAUUUUAGCUAUUGGAACAAAGCUGCAAGCUAUAAUUGCAAGGAUGGCUGUUGAAAUUACAGAAAAGCACACAGUUAUUCAAGGAAUGCCAGUGGUGAAACUCAGCGAUGAACAUUUUUGGUUCGGAAAGCCUCAUAUGGUUCUUCACCUUAUCCAUUUUGCAUUAUUCCAGAAUGCAUUUGAAAUUACUUAUUUCUUCUGGAUUUGGUACGAAUUCGGCUUGAGGUCCUGCUUCCAUGACAACUUUGAGUUUAUCAUUGCAAGAGUCUGCCUCGGGGGUGUCGUCCAAUUUGUGUGCAGCUAUAUCACGCUUCCACUCCAUGCCCUUGUAUCUCAGAUGGGAUCUUCGAUGAAGAGAACCAUCUUCGACGAGCAGACGUCGAAGGCCCUGAAGAAGUGGCACAAGACGGUGAAGAAGAAGCAGCAGCAGCAACAGCAGCAGAAGGGGUCAUCGCAUGCCUCCUCAGAGACGCCAACCACGGACACGCCCGAGGCAGGCCGGCUUAGCCAGUGCCAGUUCGUCGCCGAGGCGGCGCCGGUGGCAAACCGGCACCUCCACCGCUACAAGACCAUAGCGCACGUCGGCGCCACCAGGGCGCUCUCCGACUCGGACUGCUCCGACACGGAUGCCGAGGCGCAGACGAGGUACCUGAUCCCGCCCACGAAGCAGAGGAGCCUGGACUCGGAGGUCCGUGUGGACGUGGACGCGGCGACGCCGGAUCACCGUGAUAGUUUCUCCUUUCAGAAGCCGCCGCCUGCUCAGAAUGCGAUGGAGAAAUGA